ensembl:snRNA U7 U7 small nuclear RNA
AAGCUUUAUAGCUCUUUUAGAAUUUGUCUAGCAGAUUUUCCAGUUUUUACUAGAAAACCUCC